UACGUAGGGGGCAAGCGUUAUCCGGAUUUACUGGGUGUAAAGGGGGCGCAGACGGCGAUGCAAGCCAGGAGUGAAAGCCCGGGGCCCAACCCCGGGACUGCUCUUGGAACUGCGUGGCUGGAGUGCAGGAGGGGCAGGCGGAAUUCCUGGUGUAGCGGUGAAAUGCGUAGAUAUCAGGAGGAACAUCGGUGGCGAAGGCGGCCUGCUGGACUGCAACUGACGUUGAGGCCCGAAAGCGUGGGGAGCAAACAGG
rnacentral:rRNA from 1 species